rnacentral:rRNA from 1 species
CUACGGGAGGCAGCAGGAAGGAAUAUUGGGCAAUGGGGGAAACCCUGACCCAGCAACGCCGCGUGAAGGAAGAAGGCUUUCGGGUUGUAAACUUCUGUGACAGGGGACGAAAAAAAUGACGGUACCCUGAGAGGAAGCCCCGGCAAACUACGUGCCAGCAGCCGCGGUAAUACGUAGGGGGCAAGCGUUGUCCGGAAUUACUGGGCGUAAAGGGCGCGUAGGCGGUUUUCCAAGUCGUAUGUGAAAUACCCGGGCUCAACUCGGGGGGUGCAUACGAAACUGGAAGACUUGAGUGCGGUAGAGGAUAGUGGAAUUCCUAGUGUAGCGGUGAAAUGCGUAGAUAUUAGGAGGAACACCAGUGGCGAAGGCGACUAUCUGGGCCGCAACUGACGCUGAGGCGCGAAAGCGUGGGGAGCAAACAGGAUUAGAUACCCGUGUAGUCCC